ensembl:lncRNA
GAACUUUUCAUCUUGAACUUCUUCUUUUUCUUCCUCGGCAAGCCCUCUUCGGAGAAAGUUCAGAUCUGAUUGUAGUAUUGAUUGUAUCUUCUGUCUUCUGGAGUCAGAAAUCCUCCUCACGGGUUCGUGUCGGUCAUGUGACACACUUCUGGUCAUGUGCCUUCAAACCAGGAAGUGGAUGUUCCUGCCUGCUUGCGCUCACCUGUUGAACUCCAGGCUCCGUCUGCAGACAUCAACUGAAGAUGUUUCGACCUUCACACAUCGGACCAAAAAGUUACGAGACAGGAGAGCCGAGCCGGAGGAGGAAGAGGAGCGUGAGAGCACAAGAACGGACGUCCAGACUUAUUCUGAAGGGACUUUUAAAGGAAACGGCUUCGACAUUGAAAAGAACAAGGCCUCCCCGUGAACACGACUGGACACCAGACUGGGACUGAACACAGCCUCCGAGAUCGACGGAGGUCAGUUUGAGGACAGACGAUCAAGGAUGGAGGCGAUUUACAGGACUACUACUGAAGAGGGGUUAGAGAGAGUCAGGGCAUCAACAAUCGGUGAAAACGGCACGUAGACACGAAAUAUUUUCACAUCUUUUCUUGGUGAAUUGAGGAUUUAUUCUAAUCAAACCAGAGUUGAUUGGGAAAAGACGAACCAAGAAUGUUUUGGCACAUUUUAUUCAGUUUAUUUUAAGUGUUAAAUGAAGCCUAAAUUCAGACGGUGUAUGGUUUUAUUGUUCUGUUGAGGUAGGGGAAUAGGUGUAAAGUAUCUCCUUUCUAAACAAUUUGUGAGUUUAUUUUCUUGACUUAUUGGACUAAGAAGUGAAGCUAAAGCUACUCGGACUAUCAUGCAUUACAUGGCGGUUUAACAAGGCGAGUCGGGGGCUAGCUGGUAAGCAAUUUCUGCAACAUAGACAUCUUUGACACAACGUCAAGACUCUGUUGAUAAUGUUUGUUCAUUACCUUUUAAUUUUAAACUAAAAUUCUGGCUGUAUUUUAAAAAUGACUCCUUUUAAAUGAUGAAAAAUGUUCUCUCGUCACAUCUAUUCAAGUUCCAGAAAUUGCUAAGAAAGCACAUAAAAAACUGUAGAAAAUACAAUAACAAUAUUUAACAUAAAUUUUAAGGUUAUGGCACGAAAACAAAGUCAUUCGCCUUCUUAACACACACACACUGACUGCUAAGGACCAUUUAUUUAAAAAGGGAGGAAAGAAUAAAUAAAUGUUUUCAGUAGCUGGAAAGAUAUCAACUCCUUAGCUGGAAGGCUACACACACACACACACACACACACACACACACACACACACACACACACUGAGUCUUGCUUCAGUACCAACACAAAUAACCGGGCAGAAAAAAAACAUCAUCUUGGUAAAAAUGUAGCGCAGACUGCCAAGGCCACGGUCCUCCCUUUUAUCACAAUAAAUCAUAGCAAGAAGUUGGAGUAGUGUGUGUCCGUGUGUGUGUGUGUGUGUGUGUGUGUGUGUGUGGGCGGCUGUGUAAGCGCUGCCUUUGUUUUCCAUCCCACUUAUAAAGGUCAGGGCCCUCGGGAGUCAUUAUAUCACCCCUGAUAUUAAUGCCUAUGAGCUGAGAUUAUGACUCUGUGUGUGUGUGUGUGUGUGUGUGUGUGUUACCCAUGUGUUUCUACUGAUAUAAUUUGUCUGAAAAGUAGAGUUCAUUACUGGAGUGUGUGUGUGUGUUUUUGUAUUUUUCCGAGUUCAU